rnacentral:rRNA from 1 species
GCAGCCGCCGCGGUAAUACGGAGGAUGCGAGCGUUAUCCGGAUUUAUUGGGUUUAAAGGGUGCGUAGGCGGAUUGGUAAGUCAGUGGUGAAAUCCUGCAGCUUAACUGUAGAAUUGCCAUUGAUACUGUCAGUCUUGAGUACGGUCAAGGUAGGCGGAAUGUGUAAUGUAGCGGUGAAAUGCUUAGAUAUUACACAGAACACCAAUUGCGAAGGCAGCUUACUGGGCCACAACUGACGCUGAGGCACGAAAGCGUGGGGAGCGAACAGGAUUAGAUACCCUGGUAGUCCACGCCGUAAACGAUGAUCACUCGCUGUUGGCGAUACACAGUCAGCGGCUAAGCAAAAGCAUUAAGUGAUCCACCUGGGGAGUACGGCCGCAAGGCUGAAACUUAAAGGAAUUGGCGGGGGA